CACCAGUCUGAAACCACCUUUAACCAAGUUCACAGUUUGGGUUCCCUGGAUGUCUUAGUCCGUUUAUGCUGAAUUUAACAGAAACAAGUUCGAAGAAAAACCAUGUAAAAGCCUGCAAUGAUAUUUUCACCUUUUUUGUGGAAAGAAAUAGAUACAGAAUUGGUAGUAUUUACUAUUAUGGCAUUUUGCUUUUGAAGGAGAAGAACCUGUAUGGUCAUGAAAAUCCACCAAAAAAUAAAAAAUACAAAUGACUAUGCGAGAUUUGCCAGUUAAACACAGUUUUUUAAAAUGAAGAGGACAUCUAAUAAAGGGGAAAUAUGUUCAUACAUCUUAAUGACUUACCAUUAAAAGUACCAGUUUAAAAGAAG
rnacentral:lncRNA from 1 species